CCUACGGGUGGCUGCAGUGGGGAAUAUUGGACAAUGGGCGAAAGCCUGAUCCAGCCAUGCCGCGUGUGUGAAGAAGGCCUUCGGGUUGUAAAGCACUUUCAGUGGGGAAGAAAGCCUUGGGGCUAAUACCCUCGAGGAAGGACAUCACCCACAGAAGAAGCACCGGCUAACUCCGUGCCAGCAGCCGCGGUAAUACGGAGUGUGCGAGCGUUAAUCGGAAUUACUGGGCGUAAAGCGCGCGUAGGCGGUCUGAUAAGCCGGUUGUGAAAGCCCCGGGCUCAACCUGGGAACGGCAUCCGGAACUGUCAGGCUAGAGUGCAGGAGAGGAAGGUAGAAUUCCCGGUGUAGCGGUGAAAUGCGUAGAGAUCGGGAGGAAUACCAGUGGCGAAGGCGGCCUUCUGGACUGACACUGACGCUGAGGUGCGAAAGCGUGGGUAGCAAACAGGAUUAGAUACCCUGGUAGUC
rnacentral:rRNA from 1 species